rnacentral:rRNA from 1 species
GUGCCAGCAGCCGCGGUAAUACAGAGGGUGCAAGCGUUGUUCGGAAUUAUUGGGCGUAAAGGGAGUGUAGGCGGUUUCUUAAGUCUUCUGUGAAAUCUACGGGCUUAGCCUGUAACGUGCAGAGGAAACUGGGAGACUUGAGUGUCGGAGAGGAUAGGGGAAUACCCGGUGUAGAGGUGAAAUGCGUAGAUAUCGGGAGGAACACCAGUGGCGAAAGCGCCUUGCUGGGCCAGUACUGACACUGAGGAACGAAAGCCAGGGGAGCGAAAGGGAUUAGAUACCCGAGUAGUCC